AGAACGAACGCUGGCGGCAUGCCUAACACAUGCAAGUCGAACGAGACCUUCGGGUCUAGUGGCGCACGGGUGCGUAACGCGUGGGAAUCUGCCCUUGGGUUCGGAAUAACAGUUGGAAACGACUGCUAAUACCGGAUGAUGACGUAAGUCCAAAGAUUUAUCGCCCAGGGAUGAGCCCGCGUAGGAUUAGCCAGUUGGUGAGGUAAAGGCUCACCAAGGCGACGAUCCUUAGCUGGUCUGAGAGGAUGAUCAGCCACACUGGGACUGGAGACACGGCCUAGACUCCUACGGGAGCAGCAGGUGGGGAAUA
rnacentral:rRNA from 1 species